rnacentral:rRNA from 1 species
AUUGAACGCUGGCGGCAUGCCUUACACAUGCAAGUCGAACGGUAACAGGUCUUCGGAUGCUGACGAGUGGCGAACGGGUGAGUAAUGCAUCGGAACGUGCCCAGUAGUGGGGGAUAGCCCGGCGAAAGCCGGAUUAAUACCGCAUACGACCUGAGGGUGAAAGGGGGGGAUCGCAAGACCUCUCGCUAUUGGAGCGGCCGAUGUCAGAUUAGCUAGUUGGUGGGGUAAAGGCCUACCAAGGCAACGGUCUGUAGUUGGUCUGAGAGGACGACCAGCCGAACUGGGACUGAGACACGGCCCAGACUCGUACGGGAGGCAGCAGUGGGGAAUUUUGGGCAAUGGGCGCAAGCCUGAUCCAGCAAUGCCGCGUGCAGGAAGAAGGCCUUCGGGUUGUAAACUGCUUUUGUCAGGGAAGAAAUCUUCUGGGUUAAUACCUCGGGAGGAUGACGGUACCUGAAGAAUAAGCACCGGCUAACUACGUGCCAGCAGCCGCCGUAACAC